UUCUCUAUUACAUUGAAAGAGUUCACCGCUGCUGGCAGAUUCCACGUCAGAUGACUCUGCCUCUCCGGAUGGCUCACCAGUUUCUGCGACCAACCCUGAAUUGCCAUUGGGCAAAGGUGUAGGCUCUCCGGUCACAAACAAGUGAUGACGUCUCAGCUCCCCAAUCAUACCUUCGAGUGGAUUUGAAGAUGAGAUAAUGCGGCUAAGCACUGAAUAGCUAAAAGCCCGUCCAGUCUUCAGGAGGUCUAACACACCAUUCUUGGCCUUUUCAAGCACCUCUUGUCUGUCUGAUUCUGGCUUAUCCUUCAUGCAUGAUCUGCGCAGGUGACAGCUUAGCGAUUCUUGGGUCUUCAUACAAACUGGACAGAGGAGAUGGUGUCUGUUUGAUUUCCUGGAAAAAGAAAAUAAUAAGUCAUUACAACAAAAGUUGUAACACAUGGUAAUACAUGGGCAUAGGUAGGUAGGUGAUGAUAGAUAUACAUAGACAAAUUACUUUAGAAAUUAAGUUUGUUUUAGGUCAUGAUUAGCUUUUUUUAGUUUAACUCUACAGCCUAUAAAAAUUCCAAACAUGUAUUUUUGAAAAUGAGUGAGUAGGUGGAUGGAGAUGGCCCAUUGAUGGCCAUGCUGGCAGUUGAGGGCUGUUCAUGAUGAUAAAAGAAAACUGCAUUCCUUACAUCAACAAUGUGGGCACUUUAAGAACAGACAGUUGCUCUUUGUCCAUGAAUUUAGAGUCUAUGACCAGGAGUCUUUUACGGAAUGGAUUACUAACGACAAUGACGAGAUAGAAAACGUGUGUAGGUAAUACUCGCCCACCGUUCUUUAGCUAUAUGAAAACAGCCUGUAGCUACAAUGGCAAAGGUUACAGGAAAUUGCAUUACAUCUACAAUUCUACAUCUCUUUACCACCAUUUAUCCCAUUUGCAAUAUGUUGAAAGCAUACUCCAACUGAACUCUCCCACUCUGAUUACACUGCUAGCGUACUAGCUCAACACACAGAGGCUUUAUAUUUACCUUGUCGUAGUGUGAGGAACCGGACUAACCCCAACAGUGCCCUCAAAAUAAACAAACAAAAACAUUCAGGCCGUACCGCCCGGAACUCAAGUGCGUGGCACCCUGGGCACCUGCUCGGCCGAUUAGGCCCAAGUACCGGCACCAGGCCCAGGCACUAAGCCCGAAGCUAUGUCCCUUUUUGGCCACGGUGAGGAGGGGGAGAAUUCACCUUCUCACACUUAGUUUGACGACGUUGCAUGGUGUUUCUGUACGCCCAACCACGAUAGGAUACAUAAAAAGGAGACCUUUUUGCCCCCAGCAUCGCCACUUCUGCUUUGCAUCCCUUUUUUCUCGCGGACAUAUUUGUCCCGUAAUUUCCUCCACAUUUUUAAACACCCGUCGACCGGCAAACCCACGUUGGAGGAGAUCUCCCUCCAUGAAUUGGAGGCCAUCUGAGCGUCCUUAUAGCUCGCCAACGACGGGUUGUAUAAGUGCUCAUACUUACGGACUUCUUCAGACAAAAGCUCUUCAAUAGUAUUCAUCGGUAAAUAAAUCGGUCGACGCACGCAAGGGGUGAAAAAGCUUGGAAGGGGCUUGCAAGGUGCUCUUGCGCUUGCGUGUCCCUGCGUUUCUCUGAACGCGUAACCAUGAAUCAAGCUUUAACUGUAGCUGGGGGACUAAAUACAUUUUCUCUGCAUACUCCAUCACUUUUUAACUCUGUCUUGAAGCAAUUAGACUACUUUUUAAAGGUAUGGCCACGCUUAGUAGCGGUAGAAGAAAACCACCUUGCUGGUUAAUAGCACGCCUCUUCUUACGCACACCGAUUAUCUUAUCGUCUAUAAACUUGAUUACAGUCUUUUUUUUCCAAUAUUUUUUAUAUUGAGCUUCUUUUAGGGGUAUAGUACCACAGAGAAUGUUCAAUGCCACUUCACAAUUAUGUCGUUACCGGACCAAUCACAGCCAAGGGGGCUGUUAGAAAAUUCAGGAGGUCGGUGUCCGUCCAGCUCUCGGAGGGGCGUUCCACCUCGGGGAAGGUGUUGCCAAGGCGUGGACUUGUGUCCGUCUCUGUGAAAACGGAGAAGUAUAAAUUACGCAUUACAGAUCCUACAUCAUGGUCUCGUGUGCUUUGGGUACUCAUGUGUUUUAACAAAGGGCUUUCCGACACUUCUCUCACCCCCUGCCAAGCCAAGACUAAUCAAUCCUUAAAUGUGUCUGUGAAUCGUCAGCUGGGGACAGGGUAGGAAGAGAGAGAUUCUAGUUAAGUUAUAUGUCAAUCAAAAUGACACGGGUCAUAAUUCAAUCAAAUAAUACAGUGCACAUCAAGCAUGUUGGACAUCAUCAAUCAAAUUGGACAUGAAGCAAAUUUCAUAUACUACUAACACGGCAGAAUCCAGAAAAAAAACCAAGAGGAGCGAGACAAACUUCCUGCCCAAUGUUCCACUGGGUCAGGAUGCAUCCGCAUUGGAAAACAACAGAAAGUUGCUUGAAAAUGAAAUGAAGAAGAGGACCAAAUGCAGCACUUGUGAAUCACCCGAUGAACCAGACCUUCUCAAUGAGACGCAAGGAAAUUGUAGAAGAGCAGCCUCCGGUGAAAUGCAUGUUUGAACGCUGGCCAGCGCUUUUCAGAAAACAGCAGGUUUUUGCAGGGUUAACUAGGGUGGCAAGUAAACAAGACUUUUUUGAGUCCGUGGACCGUCACAUCUCUCGAUUCCUUGAUCUUGAAAUCCAAAGAAGGGUGUUAUUGGCAGGACACUUGCAGAGCUCCUUACUCAAGCUGAAAUGAACACCCAUGAUGUCUUGGCGAGGCGGACAGCUGUCCUACGUUGUCUUGUAGUUUCUCUUGGGGAUGAGGGCAGUGAUUUCUUCAAAGUUUGUUUUGAUUCAGAUGCCAUCACAGAUUUCAUCCAGAUUCCUAAUGGGAUAUUAACUGUUUUACCUAAACACAGCCCACAACCAAGUCCAAAUGCCCUGCACCUUGAGCCAUCCAGCAUUGGUAUAAUACUGGAAGGUAACAUCGUUAUGGAUGACCUUGAAAACC